AAAUAUUAAUAGUUAUAUUCUUAAAAUUUAGAGAAUUUGGCGGUGUUUUAGUCUGUUUAGAGGAACCUGUUUCGUAAAUGAUAAACCUCAAAAUAUCUUACUUGUUAUAGUAGUUUGUAUACCGUCAUUAUUAGAUAAUUUUUAUAGAAAAAAUUAUUAUAAUAGGAGUUGUCUUAGAAUAUUAGAUCAAGGUGCAGCUUAUGAACAAGAGAGAAUGGGCUACAGUAAGAAUUUAGUUAUAACGGAGUAGUUUCUGUAAAAGAAUUAUGAAGGUGGAUUUAAUUGUAAUGUGAGUUUAAUAAGCUUACAUGAUAUUAGCUCUAAAUUAUGUACACA
rnacentral:rRNA from 1 species